GGGCUUGUGGUUUAGUGGUAUAAUUUUCCCUUAGCACGUGACGUCCUACGUCUCGCAUCUAAUCAUGGGAAAGGUCCUGGGUUCGAUUCCCAGCAAGUCCA
rnacentral:tRNA from 1 species